CCAGACUCCUACGGGAGGCAGCAGUGAGGAAUAUUGGUCAAUGGGCGAGAGCCUGAACCAGCCAAGUCGCGUGAAGGACGACGGUUCUAUGGAUUGUAAACUUCUUUUGUAGAGGAAUAAUGGCAGCUACGCGUAGCUGAGAUGCAUGUACUCUACGAAUAAGUAUCGGCUAACUCCGUGCCAGCAGCCGCGGUAAUACGGAGGAUACGAGCGUUAUCCGGAAUUAUUGGGUUUAAAGGGUGCGUAGGUGGCGUAUUAAGUCAGUGGUGAAAAGCUGCAGCUCAACUGUAGUCUUGCCGUUGAAACUGAUAUGCUAGAGAGGAGACGAGGUAUGCGGAAUGUGUGGUGUAGCGGUGAAAUGCAUAGAUAUCACACAGAACGCCGAUUGCGAAGGCAGCGUACCAGGCUCCGUCUGACACUGAAGCACGAAAGCGUGGGGAUCAAACAGGAUUAGAUACCCUGGUAGUCCACGCAGUAAACGAUGAAUACUAGAUUUUUGCGAUAUAGUGUAAGAGUCUAAGCGAAAGCGAUAAGUAUUCCACCUGGGGAGUACGCCGGCAACGGUGAAACUCAGAGGAAUUGACGGGGGCCCGCACAAG
rnacentral:rRNA from 1 species